GGAUUCCUCACAAGGAUAAUUCCCGAUUACAGGUUUCAGGUGAAACACCAGGAAACUGUAUUCAGCACUGGAUGAUCAGCCUUGAGGGUCAUAUUAUUUGUGAGGGCAUCCAGACGGUUUUCUGUCUGGGCUUGCUGCUGUUUUUUCUACUUUUUACAACUUCAAUCUUCAAUACCAAGCUGAGGCAGCAUGCACACUGGAAUUUAUUCAAAGGCGGUUCAUCGGGAUAAACCCAGAAAAAGGCACCAAGGUUGGAGGAGUCAUUUCAAAACGGACGGGGAAGGUCGCCCAGAAAAACAAAACAGUGAACCCUCGUGUCUC